UCCUACGNGAGGCAGCAGUGGGGAAUAUUGCACAAUGGGCGAAAGCCUGAUGCAGCCGACGCCGCGUGAGGGAUGACGGCCUUCGGGUUGUAAACCUCUUUCAGUAGGGAAGAAGCGAAAGUGACGGUACCUGCAGAAGAAGCGCCGGCUAACUACGUGCCAGCAGCCGCGGUAAUACGUAGGGCGCAAGCGUUAUCCGGAAUUAUUGGGCGUAAAGAGCUCGUAGGCGGUUUGUCGCGUCUGCCGUGAAAGUCCGGGGCUCAACUCCGGAUCUGCGGUGGGUACGGGCAGACUAGAGUGAUGUAGGGGAGACUGGAAUUCCUGGUGUAGCGGUGAAAUGCGCAGAUAUCAGGAGGAACACCGAUGGCGAAGGCAGGUCUCUGGGCAUUAACUGACGCUGAGGAGCGAAAGCAUGGGGAGCGAACAGGAUUAGAUACCCUGGUAGUCCAUGCCGUAAACGUUGGCCACUAGGUGUGGGGGACAUUCCACGUUUUCCGCGCCGUAGCUAACGCAUUAAGUAACCCGCCUGGGGCGUACGGCCC
rnacentral:rRNA from 1 species